GAUCAUGGCUCAGGAUGAACGCUGGCGGCGUGCUUAACACAUGCAAGUCGAACGAAGCAAUCUUGAAACCUAGUGAUGGAUUGACUGAGUGGCGGACGGGUGAGUAACGCGUGGGUAACCUGCCUCAUACAGGGGGACAACAGUUAGAAAUGACUGCUAAUACCGCAUAACCCGCUAGGGCCGCAUGGCCCGGACGGAAAAGGAGCAAUCCGGUAUGAGAUGGACCCGCGUCUGAUUAG
rnacentral:rRNA from 1 species